AGCAAUGCAUGGAGCUGACUGUUACUAAUCGGGUGAGGGCUUGACCA
rnacentral:rRNA from 1 species